UCUGGUAGUUAUUUAGUACCAUGGCUUGUUGAGAUUGGUGUCCAUCCACAAGGCGUGCCAACUAGUUUAAAAUUCAUAACAGUUCUCUUAAGCCGCAAUGGAAUUGGUCCAGAUGGUGGAUUAGCUGUUGUAAGGAAGCUUGGGUUGUCCAUAGCAACUUGUCUGAGGAAGUGCUGGAGCCCCAGUGGUUGGACGCUGAGACGGCGGAUGUUGGAGAAGAAAAGAAUUAGGCUGGUGGUUGUUGUCUUCCUCUUGCUACGGUACAGCCAACUUCAGCGAGCUCACCUUCAACCACCCAAUUGCUUCUGUGAAAAUUUCUAAGGGACAAUUGUGUGUAGGCAACCAAGUUAAAUUAAAUACAAUUUAAGACAAGUAAUUAGGAUUGAUAU
rnacentral:lncRNA from 1 species